GGCAAAUGAAAAAUCAAUGAGAGAGAACCGUGUCAAAAUGAAAAGGUAAGGUUAAGAGGGGAAAAAACAGAGAACUAAGCAAGGAAUAACAAUGGAGUGCACAUGUACAUAUAUUGAAGAAAGGGAGCGAGGUGGAGAGCGAUGAUUGAUGGGUUCACAGCAUCAACAAAGGAAAAUAGCUUCAGAAAGUAAGCAUCCUUUUUUCCACAUAACUCUGAAGUGCUAGUGCAGUAUCUAUUUGUAGCACAUGUAAGCAAUGAGUACAAAAACAGUCCAGGAAAUAUACGAGCAGGUGAUGAUCAAGUUGAGUAACAAGUUCAUAGCAUGAACAUAACAGCUGGCAUACAACUGCUAUACUAUAUACACAUGAAUAGGAACACUACAAGCAGGUACUGCAAGCUCUUUGAAAAUGCUAAAUGGCAUGUAAAAGGAUAUCAAUUUGCC
rnacentral:misc_RNA from 1 species